GAUGAACGCUGGCGGCGUGCCUAAUACAUGCAAGUCGAGCGAACAGAUAAGGAGCUUGCUCCUUUGACGUUAGCGGCGGACGGGUGAGUAACACGUGGGUAACCUAUCUAUAAGACUGGAAUAACUCCGGGAAACCGGGGCUAAUGCCGGAUAACAUGUUGAACCGCAUGGUUCUACAGUGAAAGGCGGCUUUGCUGUCACUUAUAGAUGGACCCGCGCCGUAUUAGCUAGUUGGUGAGGUAACGGCUCACCAAGGCAACGAUACGUAGCCGACCUGAGAGGGUGAUAGGCCACACUGGAACUGAGACACGGUCCAGACUCCUACGGGAGGCAGCAGUAGGGAAUCUUCCGCAAUGGGCGAAAGCCUGACGGAGCAACGCCGCGUGAGUGAUGAAGGUCUUCGGAUCGUAAAACUCUGUUAUUAGGGAAGAACAAAUGCGUAAGUAACUGUGCGCGUCUUGACGGUACCUAAUCAGAAAGCCACGGCUAACUACGUG
rnacentral:rRNA from 1 species